CAACAAAACUUUUAAUUUAACAGUUUUUCUCUCAACAGAAUAUUGUAAUUUUGAAAGUGAUAUUUUUCUAGUGAUAGUUUAGAAAUUUUUAGAUGGUUUCCCAAUCUUCUUGGAAUUUGGCAACACUGGCGAUACAUUUAUUCCAUCUGGCAACUGACUGAAUUGUCAGUUUCAAUUUCGCGGUAAAAAAGUAAAACAUGCGAAAAAGAAUCAUUUUUGCUGAAUUGCCUGCGGACCUCGUCAAAGAACCAGUUCCAAUGAUGAAAAACACGUUGUUUAUCCGUAUUCUGAUGGCCAACGCCGAACCAAGGCAGCAAGCAUCAACCGUUGCAAAAGUAAACCAAAAGUGGCCAAACUUUACCCCGUAAAUUGAACGCAUUACGCAAACAGUUUGUGUUGUAAUUCUGAAAUCCUUUGUGCACCAUAAAAGCUCGCUGGAAAACAUGCCGACUGUAUAGGACAAUCCUUUACGAACCGAUGCGCGAGUAUCCACCGAAGGCCGACUACAGACGUCAUCAGGUACUGGUCGACAUUUCGUCAUAGUCACCAUUCCUAGCAGUUCCGUCGUCGAUUAGGUUGCGGAAUGUAUAUCCUGCUGCAGGUCAAUGAAGAAAGGCAAACCUCCACAACGAAAAACCCAGUUGACAGGGUCUCGUAUGACGGAAAGGUGAAGCUGAAUUUGCUGAACGUAACCGUAGCCGGGUGGAUACAGUGAGAAUGACCAUCAGCUCGGAACUCGGCUUCAAGGGUUAUCACUAUCACCAGAUGGAACAGUAAUCCCAGUCGAGUGGAUGCGUGCUAUCAUCAUGCGCAAAACAACUUGGACACCGCGGAAGGUGGCAGGACAGUUUCAGAUCAAAGAGCUUUCGAAAGAACGACCUAGUGCUAUGUCCGCCGUUUGGCAUGCGGUGCUGCGGCUAUCGUAAAGGAGUGACCGGCGAGUAACGAACGGGACCCAGCUGACACCGCGCAUGCGAAGCAUAUCGAGCACGGCCAUAAUACCACCAACGUAUUCAUCCUCGCUUAUGCGCAACAACAGGAACAAUGGAGGCAGUUAUCGCUGACACACGAUGAAACAAAAUAAUGUUUUUUUUUAAAUAAAUAUGUGAAAAUUUAUUUUGGCUUUUAUUUAAUUGAAAUUGAAAGUGUACAAAAAUUGUAAUUUUAAAAGUUUCACUGUUGAUUCUUAUGUAUAAUACACAUUUAGUUUUAAGAAGAAAAUGUUAUUUUGAAAAGUAAAACAAACAUUUAAUUUUGAGAGAAAAAUGUUAUUUUGAAAGGUUGGCUCUUGUCAAAGUUUAAACUAAAGCGACAUUUUUGCAAUUGUAGUUUUAACAAUGUUAUACUUUCUACUGAAAAUC